rnacentral:rRNA from 1 species
GACGAACGCUGGCGGCGUGCCUAAUACAUGCAAGUAGAACGCUGAAGAGAGGAGCUUGCUCUUCUUGGAUGAGUUGCGCACGGGUGAGUAACGCGUAGGUAACCUGCCUUGUAGCGGGGGAUAACUAUUGGAAACGAUAGCUAAUACCGCAUAACAAUGGAUGACCCAUGUCAUUUAUUUGAAAGGGGCAAAUGCUCCACUACAAGAUGGACCUGCGUUGUAUUAGCUAGUAGGUGAGGUAACGGCUCACCUAGGCGACGAUACAUAGCCGACCUGAGAGGGUGAUCGGCCACACUGGGACUGAGGCGCGGCCCAGACUCCUACGGGAGGCAGCAGUAGGGAAUCUUCGGCAAUGGGGGCAACCCUGACCGAGCAACGCCGCGUGAGUGAAGAAGGUUUUCGGAUCGUAAAGCUCUGUUGUAAGUCAAGAACGAGUGUGAGAGUGGAAAGUUCACACUGUGACGGUAGCUUACCAGAAAGGGACGGCUAACUACGUG